rnacentral:rRNA from 1 species
UAGGGAAUCUUCGGCAAUGGACGAAAGUCUGACCGAGCAACGCCGCGUGAGUGAAGAAGGUUUUCGGAUCGUAAAACUCUGUUGUUAGAGAAGAACAAGGACGUUAGUAACUGAACGUCCCCUGACGGUAUCUAACCAGAAAGCCACGGCUAACUACGUGCCAGCAGCCGCGGUAAUACGUAGGUGGCAAGCGUUGUCCGGAUUUAUUGGGCGUAAAGCGAGCGCAGGCGGUUUCUUAAGUCUGAUGUGAAAGCCCCCGGCUCAACCGGGGAGGGUAAUUGGAAACUGGGAGACUUGAGUGCAGAAGAGGAGAGUGGAAUUCCAUGUGUAGCGGUGAAAUGCGUAGAUAUAUGGAGGAACACCAGUGGAGAAGGCGGCUCUCUGGUCUGUAACUGACGCUGAGGCUAGAAAGCGUGGGGAGCAAACAGG